rnacentral:rRNA from 1 species
CAGCAGCCGCGGUAAUACGAAGGGGGCUAGCGUUGCUCGGAAUCACUGGGCGUAAAGGGUGCGUAGGCGGGUCUUUAAGUCAGGGGUGAAAUCCUGGAGCUCAACUCCAGAACUGCCUUUGAUACUGAAGAUCUUGAGUUCGGGAGAGGUGAGUGGAACUGCGAGUGUAGAGGUGAAAUUCGUAGAUAUUCGCAAGAACACCAGUGGCGAAGGCGGCUCACUGGCCCGAUACUGACGCUGAGGCACGAAAGCGUGGGGAGCAAACAGGAUUAGAUACCCCGGUAGUCCCUGUCUCUUAUAC